GAGAGCAAAUUCGCGCACCCGAUGCUUGCUUAACCUGCUACCUGCCGGACGGAGACUUUCUGCGAAGCCGGCGUGUCUGCCAGCAGCACUCGCUGAGGCUCUGAGUGUAACAGACACCACAUUUGGGAAGGCGCUUAUCACAGAAAGUCCCUGCCCUUCUCGCGGGCUCCGGGCGCAACCCUGACAAAUCGGGCAGCCUUCUUGAGAGUGCAGAAAUGCUCUGCGUACCCAGCAAAGACAUUCUCUCCUUCCCACCACUCUGCAAACCCUCACGCCGCGGCUUUAUGUCUGUACUUUAGCCAAAACGCAGAAGCUCAUGGCCACCUCCCACACCUCACCCCUCAUCCCUCACCACCUGCCUUUCAAUUCUAGGAACGAGCGACGUGACAUAAGAGGUCCCAAGGGAGCAAACCUGAAAGCCAGAACCUCCUGAAUACACAGACUGCCAGGGGGCCAGAUGAUGUUAGACACUCCGAAGAUAUAAGAAGCAUCACUUCCUUCAGAUAGAGUCGGUGAGACUAUGAUGUAAUGAGAGUUCUCCUUGUGUUCCUCAGGAAGGCAGUUUGUGCCUUUCUACUUGAGGCAUCAUCUUUGAUGGCUAAACAAUUCUGCAACUUGGCCAGCGCAGUGGCUCACGCCUGUAAUCCCAACACUUUGGGAGGCCGAGGCGAGAGGAUCACUUGAGGUCAGGAAUUCGAGACCAGCCUGGACAACAUAAUGAGAAUUCGUCACUACAAAAAACAAACAAACAAACAAAAACCUAAAAAUUAGCUGGAUUUGGUGGCGCAUGUCUGUAGUCCCAGCUAUUUGGGAGGCUGAGGUAGGAGAAUCGCUUGAGCCCGGGAGAUCAAGGCUGCAGUGAUCAAGCCACUCCACUCCAGCCUGGGGGUCAGAGCAAGCCCCUGUCUCAAUAACAGUUUUGCAGCCUGAUUGUUAACGAAUGUUACUAGUUACAAACUUGUAAUAAUGUGGUGAAGAUAAUACCUAGUGAAUGUCUGCUGGGGUGGGGCAAUAUGCUGCCAUGUGCUUUAUAUGCAUAACCUAAAUACCCCAAAAUCCUCUAAAAUAGCUAUUAUUUUCUCCGUUUUUACUAAUGAGCAAAUUUUAAAGCUUAGAGAAACUUUUCUAAGUUCAUAUACUUAGGAAAUAAAGGCAACAAUUUCAUUGAGACACAGAUCUGCCUAAUUCAAACCUUGUACUUUACAUUUUCUCUUUGAGAUGGUAAUUUAAUACGAGCUAAACUUUAAAAUCUAGUUGAAAGUAAGACCAUGAAAUGCCAAAAUCACAAGGCUUUAAAGGAAGGGAUGAAAGGGAUGCAUGAAUGUUGAAAACUGUGAUUAAGUUCAUGGACAGGAAUCAGAAUGGAAUUUAAUACUGUAAAUGGUUCAUGUUUUAUACCCAUGCCUUUUUAGUAUUUAAGGCUUUUAUGUAUGUGCAUGCCUACAUUCCUAAUUUUAAAAAAAAUU
rnacentral:lncRNA from 1 species